CAGUUCAUCGGUCCUGUUACUGCUCGUCGCCUGCAGCACCCUCUAGUCGGCUGUUCUGUAAAAAGGAUCGCCUAAGCCGACCGAGGGGGAUUUGCAGCCCAAAGCUUCGAGCAAACACUGUGUGCUGUUUUUCUAGGCUCCGACUGCCCUGAGGGUGCGCAGCACUGGGUUUAACGGCGUCGUCUGAAUCGUCUUGGUUCCUGCGGAUUGCCGUUAAACGCGACACGUGCCCUGCUACCUAGUGCCGUCUUUUGAAAUCGCCAUCUCAUCCGGCACAAUCAGCAGUUCACCGGUCCUGUUACUGCUCGUCGCCUGCAGCACCCUCUAGUCGGCUGUUCUGUAAAAAGGGUAGCCUACGCCGACCGAGCGGGAUUUGCAGCCCAAAGCUUCGAGCAAACACUGUGUGCUGUUUUUAUAGGUUGGCUGGAGCCAGCGUAAGCUGAAACUGCGGAAGCUAUGCCCUCGGCGUGAGGGAUGUUGGUGUAUACAAGGAUGCGACAUCCAUAGUGACCAAGUAAUUCCCCGCCGGUACCGUCAGGUUUGAUACAUUCCGAAGAAAGUGAUUCGUGUCUUUAAUGUACGAGGGGAAUGAAGAUGGGAUGUCCUUACUGAGACUGUCAAUAAAGCUGGAUAUUUUCUCGGUCA